rnacentral:lncRNA from 1 species
AAUUCUGGGCAGCAAUUAACCCAGGUAGCUCUAAUCAAAGUCUUUGGAAGCUGAACCCCCUAUCCCAAGUCCAAUCUGACAAAUUCUGAUAAAGAUUUUUUUUUUUUCUGUCUCACAGAUGUCCAGAUCCAGCAACAGCAAUGCCCUCUCAGGGGUUCCGUGGAUGUGUGUGGGCUCACUGGAGAGAGGUGGCACUUGCUGGUGUCCCCAUAGCCCAUCAGAGAAGCAGAUGCUUCAAGGCUGGGGAAAAGUACCAUGGAACUCACAGCCCUGCAGCACAGCUGAUGCCAGGGUCCUCACCUAGAGUGCCAGCACCUCACCAGGUAGUGUUUAUCCAUAGAGCCCACAGACAGGCCAUCCUUGGAGGACCUUUUUGAGCAUUCUUGGCUGCAGGACUCCCACGUGGCCCAGGAGACAGCUGAGAUCCAUCCCUCUGCACAGCUGGAUCCAGGAGCCCAGCAAGUACCAGCUGCACACAUCUCGUGGCGCUGGAAGAAAACCCCAGAGAGUUUCCC